GAUUAUUCAUAAUCUUACAUUAUUUUUAAAAAAAUUGCGCUUCGCUUCAAAAAAGCGUGCGCUUUUUUGCGCUUUGCGCUUUGAAGCGAGGCGAGCCCUUGUCGCUUUUUUGCGCGUUGCGCUUUCCAAAACACUGGUAGUGAGUCUAAUACUGAGUUGAUUAGAACUAGCCUGCCCCCCAAAGAUAGGCAUUGCGAUUUCCAUCUUGACAACUUCUUCUCACACUUUUCUAUGACUGAAUUCCGGAUCUCUUUUGAUUUGGAUCUUGCACCAAGAGGCAUCCCAAAGUAAACAGUUGGUAAAGACCCAACUUCUCCUCCCAGUAUCUGUGUCAGUUGCUCCAU
rnacentral:lncRNA from 1 species